rnacentral:rRNA from 1 species
UACGAAGGGGGCUAGCGUUGCUCGGAAUUACUGGGCGUAAAGGGCGCGUAGGCGGCCCGCUAAGUCGAACGUGAAAUCCCCGAGCUCAACUCGGGAACUGCGUCCGAUACUGGCGGGCUUGAAUCCGGGAGAGGGAUGCAGAAUUCCAGGUGUAGCGGUGAAAUGCGUAGAUAUCUGGAGGAAUACCGGUGGCGAAGGCGGCAUCCUGGACCGACAUUGACGCUGAGGAGCGAAAGCCAGGGGAGCAAACGGG